GAUGAACGCUGGCGGCGUGCCUAAUACAUGCAAGUCGAGCGAACGGACGAGAAGCUUGCUUCUCUGAUGUUAGCGGCGGACGGGUGAGUAACGCGUGGAUAACCUACCUAUAAGACUGGGAUAACUUCGGGAAACCGGAGCUAAUACCGGAUAAUAUUUUGAACCGCAUGGUUCAAAAGUGAAAGACGGUCUUGCUGUCACUUAUAGAUGGAUCCGCGCUGCAUUAGCUAGUUGGUAAGGUAACGGCUUACCAAGGCAACGAUGCAUAGCCGACCUGAGAGGGUGAUCGGCCACACUGGAACUGAGACACGGUCCAGACUCCUACGGGAGGCAGCAGUAGGGAAUCUUCCGCGAUGGGCGAAAGCCUGACGGAGCAACGCCGCGUGAGUGAUGAAGGUCUUCGGAUCGUAAAACUCUGUUAUUAGGGAAGAACAUAUGUGUAAGUAACUGUGCACAUCUUGACGGUACCUAAUCAGAAAGCCACGGCUAACUACGUG
rnacentral:rRNA from 1 species